UACGUAGAUGGCAAGCGUUGUCCGGAAUUAUUGGGCGUAAAGCGCGCGCAGGCGGUCCUUUAAGUCUGCUGUGAAAGCCCACGGCUCAACCGUGGAGGGUCAUUGGAAACUGGGGGACUUGAGUGCGGGAGAGAAGAGUGGAAUUCCACGUGUAGCGGUGAAAUGCGUAGAGAUGUGGAGGAACACCAGUGGCGAAGGCGACUCUUUGGCCUGUAACUGACGCUGAGGCGCGAAAGCGUGGGGAGCAAACAGG
rnacentral:rRNA from 1 species